UAGACAAGUACCGUGAGGGAAAGUUGAAAAGUACUCUGAAGAGAGAGUAAAUAGUACGUGAAACCGCCUGAAUGGAAGCUGGUGGAGUCAAGCUAUAUGCUUGGUGAAUUGGCACUGAGAUCUUUGGUUAUUUAGAGUUGAACGUUAUGGCUUGGAAAAAGCUGGGUGGUACGCCACCAUGAGCAUUCCGGGUAGUGUGCUUGUUUAUGUUCAUUCUCUUGAUCUUGUGUGUUGUUUUGCCUUGCAGUUACCAUGGUCAAUGUGUUUUUAGUGUGCGGCAUUCUAACCGUGUUGUAGUGGGCGUCAGCUCUCUAUGCUCGGGAUGGCAGGUGGCAAUUUGUUAGCCUUGGUUAGCUUGUUGCUUAUAGUGGUUUCGGCCUGCUGAGUGUUGUGCGUUAAUACUAUUUAAUACAUUGUCUUUAAUGCAUGCGUUACCUGUUGGUUGCGUAUGUGAGAGCCAUGGUUUUGUAGUAGACGUUCCACCCGACCCGUCUUGAAACACGGACCAAGGAGUUUAACAUUUGCGCGAGUCAAAGGAUCUUACGAAAUCCAAUGGCGUAAUGAAAGUGAAAGAUUGCUUUUCGCAGUCAGAGGUGUGAUCUGUGCGUUCCUUUAACAGGGCGUAUGGCGUAACACCGGCCCGUUUCGUAAUGUAGUCAUUCUUGCUACGGCAGGGGUGCAUCA
rnacentral:rRNA from 1 species